AUUGGCGGAGGGCGGUGGCCGGGCCGUCACGUGGGGCCGGGAUCCUUUGUUUGCGGAAGUAGAAGGAAGUAGAAGUGCUGAGUAAGCCGAGGUCCCUCCUGGCCCGGAAUCAGAGGACCAGCUCUGACUGAGGGGGCAGGCGGCGGGGCCUCCCCACCUGCCCCGCAGAAGAUGCAGUUUUUCGGCCGCCUGGUGAAUACCCUCAGUAGCGUCAGCAACUUGUUCUCAAACCCGUUCCGGGUGAAGGAGGUGGCUGUGGCAGACUACACCUCGAAUGGCUGGGUUCGGGAGGAAGGGCAGCUGAUUCUGUUCCAGAACAUUCCCAAUCGCACCUGGGACUGCAUCCUGGUCAACCCCAGGAACUCACAGAGUGGAUUCCGGUGGGUGAUGGUCAACUGCCACACAUACUUCUCUCCUUUGACUCCUC